AGAGUUUGAUCAUGGCUCAGAUUGAACGCUGGCGGCAGGCCUAACACAUGCAAGUCGAACGGUAGCACAGAGAGCUUGCUCUCGGGUGACGAGUGGCGGACGGGUGAGUAAUGUCUGGGAAACUGCCUGAUGGAGGGGGAUAACUACUGGAAACGGUAGCUAAUACCGCAUAACGUCGCAAGACCAAAGAGGGGGACCUUCGGGCCUCUUGCCAUCAGAUGUGCCCAGAUGGGAUUAGCUAGUAGGUGGGGUAACGGCUCACCUAGGCGACGAUCCCUAGCUGGUCUGAGAGGAUGACCAGCCACACUGGAACUGAGACACGGUCCAGACUCCUACGGGAGGCAGCAGUGGGGAAUAUUGCACAAUGGGCGCAAGCCUGAUGCAGCCAUGCCGCGUGUAUGAAGAAGGCCUUCGGGUUGUAAAGUACUUUCAGCGGGGAGGAAGGUGUUGUGGUUAAUAACCACAGCAAUUGACGUUACCCGCAGAAGAAGCACCGGCUAACUCCGUGCCAGCAGCCGCGGUAAUACGGAGGGUGCAAGCGUUAAUCGGAAUUACUGGGCGUAAAGCGCACGCAGGCGGUCUGUCAAGUCGGAUGUGAAAUCCCCGGGCUCAACCUGGGAACUGCAUUCGAAACUGGCAGGCUAGAGUCUUGUAGAGGGGGGUAGAAUUCCAGGUGUAGCGGUGAAAUGCGUAGAGAUCUGGAGGAAUACCGGUGGCGAAGGCGGCCCCCUGGACAAAGACUGACGCUCAGGUGCGAAAGCGUGGGGAGCAAACAGGAUUAGAUACCCUGGUAGUCCACGCCGUAAACGAUGUCGAUUUGGAGGUUGUGCCCUUGAGGCGUGGCUUCCGGAGCUAACGCGUUAAAUCGACCGCCUGGGGAGUACGGCCGCAAGGUUAAAACUCAAAUGAAUUGACGGGGGCCCGCACAAGCGGUGGAGCAUGUGGUUUAAUUCGAUGCAACGCGAAGAACCUUACCUGGUCUUGACAUCCACAGAACUUUCCAGAGAUGGAUUGGUGCCUUCGGGAACUGUGAGACAGGUGCUGCAUGGCUGUCGUCAGCUCGUGUUGUGAAAUGUUGGGUUAAGUCCCGCAACGAGCGCAACCCUUAUCCUUUGUUGCCAGCGGUUAGGCCGGGAACUCAAAGGAGACUGCCAGUGAUAAACUGGAGGAAGGUGGGGAUGACGUCAAGUCAUCAUGGCCCUUACGACCAGGGCUACACACGUGCUACAAUGGCGCAUACAAAGAGAAGCGACCUCGCGAGAGCAAGCGGACCUCAUAAAGUGCGUCGUAGUCCGGAUUGGAGUCUGCAACUCGACUCCAUGAAGUCGGAAUCGCUAGUAAUCGUAGAUCAGAAUGCUACGGUGAAUACGUUCCCGGGCCUUGUACACACCGCCCGUCACACCAUGGGAGUGGGUUGCAAAAGAAGUAGGUAGCUUAACCUUCGGGAGGGCGCUUACCACUUUGUGAUUCAUGACUGGGGUGAAGUCGUAACAAGGUAACCGUAGGGGAACCUGCGGUUG
rnacentral:rRNA from 1 species